rnacentral:rRNA from 1 species
UACAGAGGUCUCGAGCGUUAGGCGGAAUCACUGGGCUUAAAGCGUGUGUAGGUGGAUCGUUAAGUACCUUGUGAAAUCCCACGGCUUAACCGUGGAACUGCUUGGUAUACUGGCGGUCUUGAGCCAGCUAGGGGCUACCGGAACAAAUGGUGGAGCGGUGAAAUGCGUAGAUAUCAUUUGGAACGCCAAUGGUGAAAACAGGUAGCUGGGGCUGUGCUGGCACUGAGACACGAAAGCCAGGGGAGCAAACGGG